UCUCCGUGCCGAUCUCUCGGACAGAGGCCGUCCUCGUGGUUGAGGCAUUACCAGUCUCGUUGCGCCUGAAACUGCUCGAAUUGUACAUUCAACGCGACCCUCGCUCGCGAACAUUUCCGAUCGCGUCAAUCGCGCCGAUACCGUGUCGUCACUAUAUCCCAGAGUUCGUUAAAUUCUUCCCCGCCGUUGCUUCGUCUUCGCGCACGUACUAUCGUUAAAGGCUACCGUGCAUCGGGCUUGAUCGUGCGUGCGAGCCCGAGGAAAAAAAACGCGGAGCUGGUAUUUUCACGAUCCACUCGAGCGUCGACGCCACGGGUCGCCGAGGAACAGCAGUUGCCGGCGUGGCUCGUCGUAUCACUCGUUUCAUCGGAUUAGAUGGUUCUUUUUGGUUUUUUUCCCAACAAACUAGCAGAAGUUUCAAGAGGUACUCACCAGGAUCGUGAUCACGAGCAGAGUGACGUUCGCGGUGCCUGGUUCAAAGAAAGCCGCGGUGUCCGUCACGUUUACGCCGACGCCUGGACGCCAUUCACCCACCUACGCAAUCCUCUGUGUUAAGGGAAGUGGGCAUUUUUCAUUUACCGCGGCUGUCAACGUCAAAGUUAAAACUUUGAGCUAAAGAGCGUCUAGUACUAUGGUACGUGUGCAUUUUACAAUCUUCGAAGGCUGAAGAGAAAAUAUUGUACGACCCUCUCGAUGUCUGAACGUUCCUCAGUCUUACCUUCGACGUAGACGACGCUGUCAAUCCGGCUGUAGAACGAAUUUCGAAUGACCAAAGUACCGUGUCAUCGGCAACCCGAAAAUUCUGAUUACUUUGAAACUAUCUAGAUUUGUAGGGGGUUUCAAGAGAAGUGUUAAGCAAAAAUCUUUGUUUGGCUCGUAAUUCGGUUCUUCAAGGUGAAAAUACCUCUUAAAGGUAGCUAGGUCCCCAUUUAUCUGCAUACCUUUCGAACUACGUUACAUGUUAACAUGAGCCAUAACAGAGAAAUGGGAUAAAUAAUAAUUAAGAAUGGGAAAAAUAAACGAGCUUCCCUACUUUGGUUAUGAGCAUACCUUGACAAGCGAGUGUUGUUUCAGCUUCAAUAGGUCCAGCUUGAAUUGAAUCCUGCGUCCUUCUUUGAAUUCGAUUGGUCCGGAAAUGCCCUUUAUUUCCACCUGAAAAGAGACACGAUCAAAAGCCGAAACAUUUCGAAGAAGGUCCGGGUCAUGAAAUAUCGGUCAAUAGACCGAGUUCUCAUGAAGCGACGAUAACUCUGGAAUAGCUAUUGAUCCCGGUGUAUAAGCAUAAUAUGGUGAACAGGAAUGGGAGGCUCCCAAAGGCGCGUUAAAAGUUUUCCCACUUAAAAAGUCGUUAUCGUUGGGUCUCUGUCGGCCCCGGUAGUCGUUAUGGCCGGUUGUCGGCUUUGGGAGCUCGGAAGUCCGAGCGGAAGUCGGCCAGGCUUGAUCCGCGCUUUCUUCGUCUCGCGAAAAUAUUUUGAAGACGUGCGAGAUGACGAAGCUCGCAUCGGGCCGGAGCUAUAACUUGCCGGCCCGAGUUUCGUGGGACGCAUAAAUUUCAGAAACAAGUCGGUUUGCUUCGGGCCAAGGGACUUUUUAAUCUCUCCGGCGCUUGCGUGCCAAGUUUUCCACCAACGAUGGCUACUGACCGGGAUGCAAAUGUCCAAUUAUGAUUCAACGAUCGUGAAAAGAUUUUUUCGAACUUGUCUGUCGGAUUGGAACUCGUUGCCACAUUCUGUUCGAUCGCUUGUAGAAUUCCUGUGGAACUUGGUCCAAUCGGGACGCCUAUUUCCGCAGGGAGGAAUGAGCAUAUUGUGAACAAGGUAUUAGUUUCUGUUCCGUAGUAUUUUUGCAUUUCAAAAAUAAUGAUAGUUAUAUCAAGCUCAAUAUGUAGUCAUGAAACUAAUUCUACGCCAAAUCCAAUAGAAAAAGUUAAUCUCACUGAUGCUUCUAUUUUGACUUUUCAAACAGAAGACCCAAAGCAGGUCUCUGAAUUGAACACAAUGAGCAAUUGUUUGCACAUGAAGGUAAGAUAAAAAAAUAUCACAUAAUAAUAAUUCGUUAACAUCAUAUUAGAA